UGGGGAAUUUUGGACAAUGGGGGAAACCCUGAUCCAGCCAUCCCGCGUGUGCGAUGAAGGCCUUCGGGUUGUAAAGCAAUUUUGGCAGGAAAGAAACGUCAUGGGUUAAUACCCCGUGAAACUGACGGUACCUGCAGAAUAAGCACCGGCUUACUACGUGCCAGCAGCCGCGGUAAUACGUAGGGUGCAAGCGUUAAUCGGAAUUACUGGGCGUAAAGCGUGCGCAGGCGGUUCGGAAAGAAAGAUGUGAAAUCCCAUAGCUCAACUUUGGAACUGCAUUUUUAACUACCGGGCUAUGGUGUGUCAGAGGGAGGUGGAAUUCCGCGUGUAGCAGUGAAAGGCGUGGAUAUGCGGAGGAACACCGAUGGCGAAGGCAGCCUCCUGGGAUAACCCUGACGCUCAUGCACGAAAGCGUGGGGAGCAAACAGG
rnacentral:rRNA from 1 species